rnacentral:rRNA from 1 species
CAGAGGUCUCGAGCGUUAGGCGGAAUCACUGGGCUUAAAGCGUGUGUAGGCGGAUCGUUAAGUACCUUGGGAAAUCCCACGGCUUAACCGUGGAACUGCUUGGUAUACUGGCGGUCUUGAGCCAGCUAGGGGCUACCGGAACAAAUGGUGGAGCGGUGAAAUGCGUAGAUAUCAUUUGGAACGCCAAUGGUGAAAACAGGUAGCUGGGGCUGUGCUGACGCUGAGACACGAAAGCCAGGGGAGCAAACGGGAUUAGAUACCCCGGUAGUCCUGGCCGUAAACGAUGUCGACUAGAUCGCAGUUCCUUCAACGGUAUUGCGGUCGAAGCAAAAGUGCUAAGUCGACCGCCUGGGAAGUACGGUCGCAAGGCUA